rnacentral:rRNA from 1 species
AAAUUUUAGAAGUAAUUAAAAGCUACUCCUGCUCAAUGAAAAUAAAUAGCUGCAGAACAUUCUGUACUAAGGUAGCAUAAUCAAUUGCCUUUUAAUUAAAGGAUAGAAUGAAAGGAAACACGAAUUUUAAACUUUUUAAAACUUACAAAACUAAAUUAAUAAUUAGGUAAAAAUUCCUAUAUAUAAAGAAAGACGACAAGACCCUAUUGAAUUUUACAUAUGUUUAGCUGGGGAAGCAAAAAAAAAAAAUCUUAUUAAAAUUUUUAAAAAUAACCUUUAUGAUAAAUAACCAAAUUACCAUAGGGAUAACAGCAUAAUAUAAUUUUAUAGCUCUUAUUAAAAAUUAAGUUUAUGACCUCGAUGUUGAAUAAUAUUCUUUUAAGAGCAAAAACCUAAAAAGAAAGACUGUUCGUCUUUUAAAUAAUUACA